rnacentral:rRNA from 1 species
AUUGAACGCUGGCGGCAGGCCUAACACAUGCAAGUCGAGCGGAUGAAGGGAGCUUGCUCCUGGAUUCAGCGGCGGACGGGUGAGUAAUGCCUAGGAAUCUGCCUGGUAGUGGGGGAUAACGUCCGGAAACGGGCGCUAAUACCGCAUACGUCCUGAGGGAGAAAGUGGGGGAUCUUCGGACCUCACGCUAUCAGAUGAGCCUAGGUCGGAUUAGCUAGUUGGUGGGGUAAAGGCCUACCAAGGCGACGAUCCGUAACUGGUCUGAGAGGAUGAUCAGUCACAUUGGAACUGAGACACGGCCCAGACCCCUACGGGAGGCAGCAGGGGGGAAUAUUGGACAAUGGGCGAAAGCCUGUUCCAGCCAGGCCGCGGGUGUGAAGAAGUUCUCCGGAUGGUAAAGCCCUUUAGGUGGGGAGAAGGGCAGUAAGUUAAUACCUUGCUGUUUUGACGUUACCAACAGAAUAAGCACCGGCUAACUUCGUG